AGUCGUUUGGAAGACUGAGAGGAAGGGAAUGGAGCAGAAUCUUAUCAGAGAUUUGACUCACUUAAUAGUGGCACUGUAUCAUACUUGAGUCAAAAUGUUGGUGUGAAUUUUGUGGAAGGAGAGCCUGAUGUAAUGCCAUGGCUGCCGAACAAUUGAUGAAAACUAAUGGAUCGUGGCAACACAUGGAUGUGUUAAUCAGCUACUUUUUCCAUGACGCAGUGUAACUGUGGACAUUUCGAUCACUGGUAGCUGGAUGGUGUCAAAUAUUCGAAGUGAAGUGGAUAAUUCAAAGUUUUCUAUCAGCAGGCAUCUCUAUUAUUUUCUGCUACAAAACUAAGUUUCAGUGGUAUAAAAACAUGUGUUCUCUGAAAUACCUGUAAUUUGACCAAACUGUUAGGCUGUGUAAAAAGUUCGAUGGCCUUAAGAGCUUGCGAACUGUAGACAAGAAGAUCAAGCUGGG